AAAAGAAAAAGAAAAAAAAAUCCCCAAACUCUUGAAAGCUGCAAAGACUAGAAUGUUACCUGUAGAUGAAGAGUCAUCUGGGGAAGGUAUAAUGGAGCUUUUCUGUUUGCAAGAGGGUUCAAAGUUGAACUGAAGCAAUUGAGCUUAAAGAACUGUGGUAUUUGGGGCCCCUGCUAUGAGGCGGCAUGCAGGGGAAACAGUCAGACUGUGCAGUGCUCCAGAAAAGUGUGAGGGAGGGUGUUCUUGGUGGGAAAGGAAAAACUCCUAAAUGGAAUACUGUUUCAAAACUGCUAAUAUUAGUAUUCAGUUGAUUUAGACUACUUUCCUCUUUGGUGGAUGGAGAAAAGUGCUUUAAUUUUUAGGAUAAUUUAGAGGGUCCUAAAAUAAUAGUUGCAACUAUUUCACUAUCUUGGUAACAGUGAGAAAAAUAAAGAAAGGAGAAAAAUUUGGACGACCUCACCCCCACUCAUUUAUUUUGCUAACUGAAAAAUAACC
rnacentral:lncRNA from 1 species